UACGGGGGGGCAAGCGUUGUUCGGAAUUACUGGGCGUAAAGGCGCGUAGGCGGCCAUCUAAGUCAGACGUGAAAUCCCCCGGCUUAACCUGGGAACUGCGUCUGAUACUGGACGGCUUGAGUAUGGGAGAGGGAUGUAGAAUUCCAGGUGUAGCGGUGAAAUGCGUAGAUAUCUGGAGGAAUACCGGUGGCGAAGGCGGCAUCCUGGACCAUUACUGACGCUGAGGCGCGAAAGCUAGGGGAGCAAACGGGG
rnacentral:rRNA from 1 species